GAUGAACGCUGGCGGCGUGCCUAAUACAUGCAAGUCGAGCGAACGGACGAGAAGCUUGCUUCUCUGAUGUUAGCGGCGGACGGGUGAGUAACACGUGGAUAACCUACCUAUAAGACUGGGAUAACUUCGGGAAACCGGAGCUAAUACCGGAUAAUAUUUUGAACCGCAUGGUUCAAAAGUGAAAGACGGUCUUGCUGUCACUUAUAGAUGGAUCCGCGCUGCAUUAGCUAGUUGGUAAGGUAACGGCUUACCAAGGCAACGAUGCAUAGCCGACCUGAGAGGGUGAUCGGCCACACUGGAGCUGAGACACGGUCCAGACUCCUACGGGAGGCAGCAGUAGGGAAUCUUCCGCAAUGGGCGAAAGCCUGACGGAGCAACGCCGCGUGAAUGAUGAAGGUCUUCGGAUCGUAAAACUCUGUUAUUAGGGAAGAACAUAUGUGUAAGUAACUGUGCACAUCUUGACGGUACCUAAUCAGAAAGCCACGGCUAACUACGUGCCAGCAGCCGCGGUAAUACGUAGGUGGCAAGCGUUAUCCGGAAUUAUUGGGCGUAAAGCGCGCGUAGCGGUUUUUUAAGUCUGAUGUGAAAGCCCACGGCUCAACCGUGGAGGGUCAUUGGAAACUGGAAAACUUGAGUGCAGAAGAGGAAAGUGGAAUUCCAUGUGUAGCGGUGAAAUGCGCAGAGAUAUGGAGGAACACCAGUGGCGAAGGCGACUUUCUGGUCUGUAACUGACGCUGAUGUGCGAAAGCGUGGGGAUCAAACAGGAUUAGAUACCCUGGUAGUCCACGCCGUAAACGAUGAGUGCUAAGUGUUAGGGGGUUUCCGCCCCUUAGUGCUGCAGCUAACGCAUUAAGCACUCCGCCUGGGGAGUACGACCGCAAGGUUGAAACUCAAAGGAAUUGACGGGGACCCGCACAAGCGGUGGAGCAUGUGGUUUAAUUCGAAGCAACGCGAAGAACCUUACCAAAUCUUGACACCCUUUGACAACUCUAGAGAUAGAGCUUUCCCCUUCGGGGGGCAAAGUGACAGGUGGUGCAUGGUUGUCGUCAGCUCGUGUCGUGAGAUGUUGGGUUAAGUCCCGCAACGAGCGCAACCCUCAAGCUUAGUUGCCAUCAUUAAGUUGGGCACUCUAAGUUGACUGCCGGUGACAAACCGGAGGAAGGUGGGGAUGACGUCAAAUCAUCAUGCCCCUUAUGAUUUGGGCUACACACGUGCUACAAUGGACAAUACAAAGGGCAGCGAAACCGUGAGGUCAAGCAAAUCCCAUAAAGUUGUUCUCAGUUCGGAUUGUAGUCUGCAACUCGACUACAUGAAGCUGGAAUCGCUAGUAAUCGUAGAUCAGCAUGCUACGGUGAAUACGUUCCCGGGUCU
rnacentral:rRNA from 1 species